rnacentral:rRNA from 1 species
CACGUAGGGUGCGAGCGUUGUCCGGAAUUAUUGGGCGUAAAGAGCUCGUAGGCGGUGUGUCGCGUCGGCCGUGAAAACCUGCAGCUUAACUGUGGGCUUGCGGUCGAUACGGGCAUCACUGGAGUUCGGCAGGGGAGACUGGAAUUCCUGGUGUAGCGGUGAAAUGCGCAGAUAUCAGGAGGAACACCGGUGGCGAAGGCGGUUCUCUGGACAGUUCCUGACGCUGAGGCACGAAGGCCAGGGGAGCAAACGGG